GACGAACGCUGGCGGCGUGCCUAAUACAUGCAAGUAGAACGCAGUUGCGAACGGGUGAGUAACGCGUAGGUAACUGCCUCAUAGCGGGGGAUUACUAUUGGAAAAGAUAGCUAAUACCGCAUACUUGUAGAUAGACCUGCGUUGUAUUAGUUAGUUGGUGAGGUAAAGGCUCACCAAGGCGACGGUACAUAGCCGACCUGGUAGGGUGAUCGGGCAAAAUGGGACUGGGACACGGCUCAGACCCCUUCCGGAGGGAGGAGUAGGGGAUUUUCGCAAAUGGAGGGAAGGCUGACCGAGCCACGCCGCGUGGGUGGAGAAAGUCUUCGGGUCGUUAAACUCUGUUGUUAGAGGAGCGGUACCUAACCAGGAAGCGACGGCUAACUACGUGCCAGCAGCCGCGGUAAUUC
rnacentral:rRNA from 1 species